rnacentral:rRNA from 1 species
GCUUGUCUCAAAGAUUAAGCCAUGCAUGUCUUAGUGUAAAUAACUCUUAUGAAACUGCGAAUGGCUCAUUAAAUCAGUUAUCAAAUACGUGAUGGUCGCCUACUACAUGGAUAACCGUAGUAAUUCUAGAGCUAAUACAUGCGAAAAAUCUCGACUCACGGAGAGAUGCUUUUAUUAGAUCAAAACCAAACGGCUUCGGCCGUCUCAUUGGUGACUCUGAAUAACUUUGGGCUGAUCGUAUGGCCUUGUGCCGACGACGUUUCCUUCGAAGGUGUGCCCUAUCAACUGUCGACUGUGAUAUAGACGCUCACAGUGGUUUUGACGGGUAACGGGGAAUCAGGGUUCGAUUCCGGAGAGGGAGCCUUAAAAACGGCUACCACAUCCAAGGAAGGCAGCAGG